rnacentral:sRNA from 12 species
UCUGGAUACACUUGUAUUCAUCCAAGAGAAUGAGGUAAGUCACUUUACGGAAUUUAGUAUAAGUAAUACAUUUUAGGAUUGAUAAAGACUUUCAUAAAGUGAAAUUCUAAAAUGUUGGGAUAACCGUAUGUCCUUUAACACUACUUGUGUUAUAAAAAUAAUCUUGAAUAAUUUUAAAUAAGUUCUCAAGUUACGGUCUU